CAUAUUUUGUCAUUACGACGUCCACCGCGCGACAUAUAACUCCAACGAGACACCCAACGAGACAUCCGAUCGUUCGCGACCGAAAAGUUGCGAGUUCGCCGGACGGAUAACGACGAGCACGCUCGCUGAAACAUACGAUGUUGAAGCUCUGCCGGGGUGAAACGCGCGUCGAAGGAAGUAGGAUGAUGCGCCGACGAUUCGUGGCUCGAUCCCAUAACGAGCGGAAAGCAAAACGGUGGCAGGCACGGUAGAAACGGCACGACGAGACGUCACCGACCCGCAUUAUCCAAAGAUCGAUAAAUUCAAGGUCGCUAUCGCGAAUUUCGAUUCCUUCUGGGGCUGGCUCUCCCGCGGCUUCCACAUGAUCGCCAUUGUGCGUCACAACGAUAUAUCUCGUCUGGGAGUUGGGUCACAACACGAAAUGACGUGCCGCGUGUUAAAUAAAUCGAGGUGGAAACGCGACGAUGAUGAGCGAGCGUACGUAAUGUUCGACUGCGUUAUUCGAUCACGUGACACCACGGAAGUCGGCGAUGGAUGAGCUUGCGACUCCAUGAUCCACGCAAGAUCCCGAGUCGGAAUGUUAGCCCUACUUUCGAUCUGAACUUUCCAACAUCUGCGUAUCCUGAAGAAUCAAUGAGCUCGGGUAUGAUGACGAUAUGGGAAAGAUAGCCAUAAGCUCUGUACUUUCUCUAAUAAUUGUUAAAUAGUACGUUUUCGCACGAUUUUUUAGAACGAUUGUUUUUAAGAAUGACUACGAAAGCGCACUAUUUUAGCAAUUGUUAGAGAAAUUCUAUCUUAUGGUUUACAUCUUAUGGUUUACAUAUUUCCCAGAUGGCAUCACAUCCGAGUUUACCGUAUGUUUAAAGCUUAACCUAUAAUUUGUUUCUUGUUACUUUUUCUUUAUCUCUUUCUCACUCAAGCCUUAAACUAAAAAAAGACAGAAAAUAAGAAACAGGAAGCAAAAAACAUAUUGUAGAUCAGACUUAAUACACACAGAAAGCGAAAACCUACUUAACGUCGUUGAAUAGCAGAAAAUAUACAAGAUGCCACUUGCAGAUUCUAAAGAAGAUCUUUCUGUGAAGCAAAUAGGUGAAAUAGAUGUCAAAGCUUGAUAUAGGCUUCGGAGUAUCGAGAUAGACGUUAAGUGGAGUAUUGAGAUCGAAAGUAGGAUCAAAAUUUGGAUUCGAGAUGACAGCCGGAGUCACGCGGGCGUGACUGCAGGCAAUGCGAGACCCGCAAUUCGAAUCGCAACGCAAACGAAAAGAUCGAUGGGGUUAAGGUCACGGUUAAUAUCGUCGAUUGCAAUUUGCCACGUUGCGCCGGCGACCUUCGGCCUCGUUUGCGCUCAUGUGCCAAUGUCGUUCGAUAUUAGGAAUCGGAUUGUAAUAGUCGCGUCGCGGGGCUGUUCUCCGUACCAAAGAACGACGCAACAUUGUAUUUGAAUACACGUUGAAUUCAAGUGUCGUGAGUCAUGCGGCCAAACUGAGCCGAUCGUAAGUUUACUUGGCGAGCGCGAGAUAGGAUCGUCAUAUGAACAUCAAAGAGAUCUAAAUUACGCUCGCACUUGCCGACUCGAUCGUCCUGCUUACCUGUAAGGUGGCAUUACUAGACGGAUAUUGUUUCGGCGAGUCGCAAUUUCGAUGUUAAGAACACACGGGAGUAAUCUCGACGAUCGUUCGUGAUAAUGUACGGUCAUUAGCAUAAAAUACUGUUUUCCAUGCUUAUAGCAGUCGACAAUUGGCUCCGUCGAAAUUACGCCGGAAUUGAAAUUCCACCAGUUGUCUUGAAAUCGGGCUAUAGAAGCGCCGCGAAUAUUACGCAAGGAUGACAUAUUCGACGAGGAAGGACAAUCCUGUGCAUUAUUACAGUCGUACAUUCGCGCGUAUUAGAUAAUCUAUCUCUGUUUUUGAAUAGAAUAAUCAAAUAGAAUCGUAUCUGCAAUUCUAACAUCAUUAAAGAACACAGAGAAAAGAAGAUUCGACUUGAUUAACGUAAAAAUGAACGAACCAAAUGCGUUUUAGUUGAAGCAGCUGAAUUUCUAGUUCUUGUAAACCAAAGUCGGUUCUGGGUGAGAUAUUUGACGGGAAAGAAUAAAAAAUUCCGUUUUCUUCAACUAUAAUGUGUUUGAUUCGUUCAUUAUCACGUUAAUUCAACCAAAUCUGUUUCUCUGUGAAUAAAUGCGAUAUAGAACGAUACAAAACAGCAGAGAAGUACUUCCAAGUUUAUGUAUGCCAAAGCGCAAUUUUCCAUAACGAAGUAUCCACGAGCACGCCUUCUUACGCAAGUAUACGCAACACGAGCUAUUCUUCCGCAGGUGAAGCCAAACGCUCCUUUACCACCGCAGGGCUUUCAAGCGCGACCGCAAGGUCUUCCUAUCUCCCCCAGAAAUUCGAUAAAUAAUGGUCCCAUAGGCGCGCCCCGAGCAGGACCGCCGCUGCGCCGACUGGACAGUCGUUCUUCUCUGGGUCCACCAGCCUCGGGUCAAUUCGUGCAGCUUAGACCUUACGGUCCGCCGCGACCCCCGGGAGGAUCUUUCCCUCCAAGACCACCACAACCCGGCCAGCUACCCCCGCAGAAUCCACUGCACCCUGCGAGUCAACGUUUCGCGCACUCUCCGGGGAUUCGAGGUCCCCCGCCGCAAGCAAGCGGUCAGAGGCCGCUUUUCGUCGGCAACUAUCAACAGGCGCAGCAACAGCAGCAGCAGCAUCAGCAACAACAACAACAGUAUCAACCGCGAAGCAACGACCCGCGAUUUCAACGACCACCGCCGGACAUCGCCCAAAACGGACCGCCGCGGAACGCGGAGGCCGCUCCUUACCGACCCGGUCAAGACAGCGCUUUCCCCAGACAGCUGCUGAGAAAUGACUCAUUGCUGAGCCUGCAGCGGCAGCACCUUUUGUCCAACGAGGAAAUCAAGCAGCCGACGCGACCGCGCAUAGUCAUCGAGAGGAUGGCGGACAUAGACGAGACCAGUGACAACGUCGCCAAGCUUGAGGGCUACCUGCAGAGGAAGAAGUCCGACGUUCGCGAGAACGGCGAGAACGACGACGACGACGACGUCGUGAUGGACAACAAGAAAUCGCCGCGGCAUGAUGCCAACGGUAUCCCCCCUGAAGCACUGAUGAACGGCUCCAAGUCACCCUCGACGCCCAGGAAACACGACGACACCGGGAAACCCGCGAGCGAGUCGGCUGCCAUCGAGAAGCAGGAGAUGCCGUCAAGAUCGACUUCGGCUGACAGUGACGACAAGAUAUCGAGACACUCCGCUGAUUCAGCGGCGGUCAUCUCUCAAAGCAGACCUGCCUCCGCAGUAAGCAGCCACGAAGGGAAACUUCCUAGCAGACCUCCAUCGAGCAAAGAAGUCGACAUCGUGAAAGAAUUGAUGGAAGAUUCCGCAAAGAGUACGACUAGUGUAACCCCACCCUUGGAAGACUCGAAGAGCGACAAAACGUCUCGUCCACCGAGCGCAACGUCGAUAGGAGCGAUGGGAGAAGCCAAACAGCCGCCUGGCAGUCCAUAUGGAAACGACACGCUCGGGAACGCCGAACAUAGCUUGAAGACAUUCUCGAGGUCCUCGGACAACUCGCGGUCCAGCACUCCUUCACGUCUGGAGACACCUCAAAACGCGGAACGGGAAGCGAGGUCGCCAUCUAAGACUCCAGACAAGUCGCGCUCGAGCACUCCGGGCUCCGGGCUGGAGCCGUCCGGCAACGCGCAAGUGGAAUCAAGAACGCCGACCAAAACUCCGGAUAAGUCGCGCUCGAGCACUCCAGCCGGACUGGAGCCGCCUGGCAGCGCGGACUCGAAGACGCCGUCCAAGAGUCCGGAUAAAUCGCGCGCGAGCACCCCAGCCGAACUGGCGCCGUCUCCGAAAGAGUCGAUAACUCCAGUAAAAACGCCGGACAAGUCGCGUUCUGCCACGCCGGCUAGUUCUGGAGCAGAGCCAAGCAAUAACGCGGUGGUAGAUGAGAGAUCCUCCGGGAUCCCAGACCACCGUGAGGCGGACGAAGAAACUCUGGGAGUGAAGCAACCAAGUAGACCGACGUCGUCCUUGGGCUCGUCUACCUCGAUAAUUGGCAGAGAUAGCAAGUCGCCGAAGUCGCCGAAGUCGCCGAGGUCACCCACGACGCCGGAGAGCCAAGGCAAGUUGUCAGCGCCGGGAUCGGUGGCGACUCCACCAAGGUCGCCCGAAGAGACCGUGAAGGGCUUCGACAACGGCCAACAACGAUCGUUGUCCGCGAGGACGACCCCCAGCGCCAGUCCCCGCUCACCCACUUCUCCGAAAUCGCCCGCCGGCGGCGGCAAGCAGCCUGAGGGUGAAAAGAAGCGAACGUCCUUCGCCGAGGAUCCGGUCGCCGCCAAGAAGGCGGCGGAGAUCGUGGAGAAGUCAUCGAGCCCGACGUCUCCGUCGAAGCCUGCCACCUCCGCGGCGAAGAUUCGACGCAAGGCGACUCCGGCCAAGCUGAUCGACGAGAAAACGGAGCUGAAGUCCUCGGAGAAACAAGCGGUCCCAAACGGCAGUGGCGGCGAGUCGCAAGCGGCACCGACUACAAACGGAGUCGCGGAAUCGCCAACUAAAAAGUCUCCCUCUAAGUCCAAAGAAUCCGAUAAGAGAUCGACCGCUGGAUCGCCUACGAAAUCACCUAGCAAAUCCGCUAAGUCGCUACCACGAACUCCCGAAACGCCUCCUUCGACUGCCCAAGACAAAAAGAAGCUGCCGAUGAACAAAGUUCAAGUCGGCGCGGCGCCCUCCCCGAACUUGAAGACUGUACGGUCGAAGAUCGGUUCUCUAGACAAUGCGAGUUACAAGCCGGGCGGUGGCAAAGUGAAGAUAGAGAACAGAAAGCUGGACUUCAGCAAAGCGCAACCGAAGAUCGCCGCGAAGAACGAGAAAUACACGCCCAGCGGCGGCGACAAAAAGAUUUCCCAAGUGAAGCUCCAAUGGAACGCCAAGUCCAAAAUAGGCUCCCUGGAUAACGCCGCUUACAAACCGGGCGGCGGUGACAAGAAGAUCGAGACGGUGAAGCUCGACUUCAAGGACAAGGCGAAGCCAAAAGUCGGAUCCAAAGACAACGCGAAACACGUGCCCGGCGGCGGCGCCGUCAAGUCUGCAACUCCACCUAAGACACCGCAGGAUGCGAAGAACGACAUUCCGAUGCAAAAAAUAGAUAUCAAAGCCGAAAGCAAGAUCGGUUCUCUGGAUAAUGUGAAGCACAAGCCGGGCGGCGGCGACAAAAAGAUCUUCAACGACAGAGACUAUCUCCGACAGACGAGUUCCAAUGUUGAGAGCUUGGACGGCAGCGGCUCCCAGAGCCCCGUGCCUUCCGGCGCGAUCACCGACGGCAAGAACGGCCUGCCAGCCUCGGACGAGAACCUGAACCAGGAAUGCUAGGUCACGAAAAGUCGGCCGAUAGACCCGCUUUACUAUACCAUUUGCAUAUGAUUAAUCACGUUUACCUAUCACCCCCCCCCCCCCAAACCCCUCGAAGGACAAACGAGCGCGAUCGAGAGCGAUAUACCGUUGAGACAAACGGCGCACGGAAUUCCUCGAAUAAAAAGAAAAAAAACAUACGAAAAAAAAACAAAAAGAGAGAAAGAGAGAAAGAGAGAGAAAGAGAGAGAGGAAACAAGGAACAUUACGAUCGAUAUCGUGCCGCGAAUGACGAGAUUUGCGCGACGGGCGAACUUAAUCAACGAACGAAGCAAUACGUUAUCGCACUGAUUUGUCGUUGAGUCGUAACGCGAACUCCGAAUAACUCCAUCCUGCAUUUACAGCGAUCUUUAGUUGCCCUCAGAGAAACGAGCGAUUUACGUCAUCAUCGUGCCGUACGUAAAAAGACACCCUCGAACAUGUAACGACGCUGAAUCACGGGACACGCCGAGAGACGUAAGAAGGACUGAAGAAAAUAUUUCAUUUUUUAUCGAUAUACAGCACUGAAAACAAACAAAAAAAAAAUAGAGAGAGAGAGAGAAAAAGACGCCGAUGAUGAUUUCAGAGAUGACUUUCACGCGCAUGAAAGUUCCUUCCCUUCUUGAGCGCGAUAACUUUUUUAUCAGAAGCUACAUUCCUCUCUGUGUCGCAGCUACACUUUCCCCCUCCCCUCUUGCGAUCUUUUGAAUCAUUGUGUCGACGCCCUCGCACGCAAACAUCAACACGUCCCCGAGUUAUCCAGUUUUGAUACGUAUUUGUGCCAUAAUCUCGACAUCGUCGCGGCGUAUCGCCCAGAGUUACGAUUAUCUACGCCGCGCACACGCGCCGCUGUGCACGCGUCCACCACUCGCAACGAUACGUUCAAUCUAUUGCAAUGUGUCACGCAUAGUGCGACAUAAGAAUCGCUUAAGAAGUUAAAUCAAUAAUGCGCGUAAGCGCCAACAUCGUAUCGACUGGAGUUCCACAAGUCAGAGUUAGGACAUCGUCCGUAGGGAGGAAGUGACUGAGCGAUUGAGAGAGAAACUGCAAGAAACUGUCCUUCGUCAUUUCAGUCUUAAAGCCUCUCUCUCUCGCUCCUGCUAGAGUUUCUCUCUCACUCCCGUCAUCCCUAAAAAUGAUGGACAGGAUGCAGACCAAUCAGGAGUCAUCAUGCUUUGUCCUCCGACUCGAGGAACUCCGGUAUUGAUCUCUAAGAUACAGAACGUAGAUCCCCAAAUUCUCGUGCAAUCGCAAAUCAUUUCGAAUCUUAUCUUUCUUUUUAAUCGUCUCGUGGAAAACGAGUGUGACAUCUCUUCCACAUUCAGUUUAAUUACAUUUAAUUACAUUUAAUUUACAGCAGUGUCGGCCAUUAAUCGAUUAAAAUUGUAGUCGACUAAAAUAAUCGGAGAGUCAAUAAACAAAAUUAAUUGAUCAUAUAUGUAAUCACGAGUAAUUCAAUCAACUGAUAGAAUUGAUUAUUCAUCAAGCUCUGACUUAGUUCAUUAUACACUGAUUAAUAAUAAUUUUAUAAGUUAGUUAAAUUAUUCGUGAUUAUACACGUGACGAUUGAAUAAUUUUGAUUGUUAAUUUGCCGGUUAUUUAGUCAACUGAAAUUUUUAUCGAUCCAAAUAACCGGCACUGAUUCACAGUAAUGAAUUUCAGUUCACUUAGUAUCGUUGAGCGUAAGUACCUGAUUUAAUAGACAGCGCGAGUCCAAACCGUUCUACCCUCAUUAAUGAACGUAUAGCGCGCUGCUAGUCUUUUUAAUCACAUCCAAAAUAAUUUAAUCUUAUCCUUAGCGGAAUCCUCAUAUAUAGGCUUGGUUUAUAUCGUACACUUGAUACAUGAUCGUCUACUAAAUAGUAACUUUCUAUUAGAUAAUCUUAAUAUUCACGAUAUAUAUAAACAAUAGUAUAUUAAGCUGAUAUAAUACUCAUCAACAAAAUGUAUUGUAAUGAUUGAAUGCAUCACCGUUGAUAUACAUUGUCGAUAUUAAGACUAUCUAAUAGAUACGCGUAUUUAGUACGCGUAUCAAGUGCACGAUGUAAACCAAGCCAAUGUUUCAAGAAGAUUCUUCUAAAAUCAAAAGAAAAAAUAUUCUAAGCAUAAUAUACUUAAAAUUACAGAAACUUCGUCUUUUAUUUACAGCACAAUUCUUAAUAGAAAUUUCUUGCGGUAAGAGAAGCAAUUCUGCUUCUAAUAAAUAUAUUCUUCUCGAUUCAAAAGAAAAAAGAAAGUUAGAAUACUGCCUAGUAGAUUUCCAAUUAAUAGUUAGAUUUAUCACCUUAUUAUAUAGAAAAGAAAUUUUUUCAAUAGUUUCCGCUUAGAGUAAAAGGAAACAGCGUCCUAAAACUAUACUGAGAAAGAGAAUACUUGAAAAUUUAUUAUUCUUUUGUGAGAUAUAAAGUUUAUAUUUACAAAAAUAAACGUUAUGUUUGGCAGAAAUCUUCAUUUCAAAAACUUUAUAUUCCAUAAAUAAAUUUUCGACCAUUUUUCUCAGUGUAGAGUUGUUUUGUUGGGUAUUGGAGUGCGUUUCUUUUGAUUUUAGAAGAAUUUACUUGAAGCCAUGACACAAGAGAAUUCUAAGCAGGAUAAAAUUAUAUGUUUUUAGAUGUACACUUCUGUAGUCAUAUUAUAUAUUCACGAAAAGUUCUGACGAGAAUAUACAUCAUGAUUACAAUACACACCCGUGCGUCGUUGUAGCGUGUGAAAAGAAAGAAAGUGAGAGAUAAAGGGACAGAGUGAGAGAGAAAGAAAGAAGGAGAGAGAGAAGAAAAGAACCAUUAUACGUCCUUUCAGGAGAGAGCGAAUAGACGUUAGAUGAACGCGAAGCGCGCGUUUAUUAAUUUUCGUGCGAGAAGGUCUCGACACCUGACAGUCCUACAAGUGUCGUGCGGUACGUUGCACUUGAUCGUCGCGACUCGAGCGUUUCGAACAAUCGUCGGAAGUCGCGAGCAUAAACCGGAGAAUCACACUUACGGUAGAACGACGGUGCAGUAGUUACCCGUUCGCGUAUUAAUAGUCUUCGUUCGACGUGGUCCGUCCGUGAUGCGAUCGCGUAUGCGUCGGGUUCCGGAGGAAAAGGCGAGCGACUGCGGAUAAAACGAGAACCGAAAGAGAGAAAGAAAGAGAGAGAGAGAAGGACGAUCUCGAUCGUCAUGGAGAAGACGCCGCAGGCCGUUCAGGCAGCCGCCAGUCGACGCCGACGUCGAUUUAUUAUUCGUGGAUAACUUAUAGUUGUUCUUGUGCUCUAUCUACAUUGCGACCGCGCGGUUACGAUUGUAGAGAAGGUCGCGCGAAGGAGAAGUCGCCACAAGUCGCGGGAGUGAGUCACCGGUUGUCAACAGGGCGAUCAUAUCGGUGCGAUGGGACAACGGGGAGCGGUGUUUAGAAUUUCGGACGAGACGGCAAGUGCCGGAGAGGCCGAGGGCGGCAGCACGCGAAGGACGGCGACGCAAAACUGCCCCGUCGUGUAGGCCGCCUCGGACUCACUUCAUCAGAGAUUGCGCUUAGACACGACAGGAUAUACAUGCGAGAUAUCCGUGUGAACGUGUGACACUGUGGAUUACGUCGUAAAGCGAUCGCUAUCCGUUGCGUCCCACGAGUACGCAAGGUACGUACGUAAUACACGUCGCCGCUCGCUGCUGCGAGAACGCAAAGAGAACGGCGCGGCGAGAGUCCGUCGACGGAAAAAAGGGAUCGAUCACGACGAUGAUGAUGAUGAUAAUGAUGAUAAUAAUGAUGAAGAUGAGGAUGAUGAUGAUGGAGGAAAAAGAGAAUGUUCGGAUUGUGCGACCACGCCAAAAAGAUAAAAACAGUCUCUCACCUACGUCACACUACCUUAGGUACCUCGUGCAAUUUACACGUCGCUAGAGAAAGAUAUGAUAUACGACACAUUAUUUACACUGUAUUGCUUCCACAAUGGAUUAUUAUGGUACUUUUGAUUCAACUUAACAUUGCGAUAUCUCACGGAAACAGAAUGAUAAUUAACGUUAGAUCCUCGUAAUUGUCACAAGUUACCACUUCGUACGAACGCAAUAGUGUAACUACUAUCCAGCGUGUCCUCCUGAGGAGACGCCGGAGAGGCAUUAUAAUAAUAUUUUUGUUUUUAAAUUUA